UCCAAGCCGUAAAUUAUGCAUGCUAGAUGUUUUGGACCCUUGUGGUCUGGAGUGUCGUAAUCUAACGAGUUAAGCAUGCCGCCUGGGUAGUAUACUCGCAAGAGUGAAACUCAAAGGGACAGACGGGGACCCGAACAAGUGGUGGAGCAUGUGGUUUAAUUCGAAAAUACACGAAGAACCUUACCUGGGCUUGACAUACGAAGAAUCUUUCAGAGACGGAGGAGUGCCUGCUU
rnacentral:rRNA from 1 species